GUUAUUGAGUUUUUGUUCCGAUAACUGUGAUAAUUUGAUGAUUUAUCAAACUAUUUGUAAGAAUUCUAAAAUCCGAAUGUUAUAUAAUACACAAAGCAAUUUCUUCCAGAAAAGUUUUGACAUUUUCAAAGCGGAAGAGUGGGGAUAAAACAAAUCCCUAUUGGGUCAGUUGUUGGUAUCUCCAAUUACUGGAUUUAGAUGCAGUUCGCAGGCCAGAAUUGCAAAUAUAAACAUAAGAAGAAACAGCAGAAACAGAACAUAGACCACAUGCUUUAUAGUCUUGACCAAUGCUGUUAUUAAAGUCUGAAGGGGAAAGAGAAGGCAUUUGGUUUGUUAUAUGAUUCUAACCUUUUUGAUGGUAGUCUCACUCAAAUAUCAUGUUCAACUUAAAAUGUAAUUUAUAUAUCAGCUAUAAUUAUCUUGGCU